AAGGAAUAUUGGACAAUGGUCGCAAGACUGAUCCAGCCAUGCCGCGUGCAGGAAGACGGCCCUAUGGGUUGUAAACUGCUUUUGUACCAGAGAAAACCUAUCUACGUGUAGAUAGCUGAUAGUAUGGUAAGAAUAAGCAUCGGCUAACUUCGUGCCAGCAGCCGCGGUAAGACGAAGGAUGCAAGCGUUAUCCGGAUUCAUUGGGUUUAAAGGGUGCGUAGGCGGGCUUGUAAGUCAGUGGUGAAAUCUCUCAGCUUAACUGAGAAACUGCCAUUGAUACUGCAGGCCUAGAGUAUAGAUGACGUUGGCGGAAUAUGACAUGUAGUGGUGAAAUACUUAGAUAUGCUACGGAACACCGAUUGCGAAGGCAGCUUACUAUUUCGUAAUUGACGCUGAGGCACGAAAGCGUGGGUAGCGAACA
rnacentral:rRNA from 1 species